rnacentral:lncRNA from 1 species
CCCAACGUAAAGUCAAUAGUAGUACAACGAUAUAUAAGGGAACAGGUUUCAGUUCCUCGACCCCCCUCAGUGAAACCGUCAUCAGUGAAAGGUUGUCCGUUUCUAUCUCCUUACCAAGUUGAGCCUCUCUUUCUGCUCUGGUAUAAAGUGACUUUGUACUACGUUUUGUGUGAAGUGUGUGAUUCAUUGACUUUAAGAUUACGGACCAAAGGGCACCCUAUUCCCUAUUUAGUGCACUACUUUUGACCAGGUAGUGAGUGACCUAUGUAGGGAAUAGUGUGCCAUUUGGGACCCGGAAAUAAAAACAGAAGAUCAAUAUUUCAGAACAAAAUAUGCAUCUCUAAAAUGUGUUUUUUUAUUUGAUUUUGAAUGUUAUUAUUUAGUCUAUUAUUCAUUAUCAUCACAGGCUUUAAGUUGGGGGUUUUCUUGAUCCAAUACCGUUGUGAUUGUGUCUGUUUUGGGGGAGGUUUUCUAUUCUCUUUUAAAGGGUGUGUAUGUGAUUUUGAAAAGAUUGAAACAUGUAAUAGCAGAUUCCCUCAGAGCGGUUUCACAACACUCUGGGGGGUCUGUUUUAGAGCUUCGUGUAUCAGGGCUCGAUUCAAUCCAUUGUUGAAGUUCAGCGUUAAAACACGAUUUGACAUUUUAAAAGCAAUCGUCUCGCUGAGACUGCGUUCGUGGUAAACGCUGCGUAAGUCGGCUCAAUGGGAGGUGAGCUUCGGCGGUACGGAUUGAAUUGAGUCCUUUUUAGUUAUUCAUAUGUAUCAGAUCUACUUUCUAGACGUGUAUCUACGCCACGGUGCACAGCUGUGCUGAGGCUGAGAGCCUUCUUUCUCUCUCCACUUCAGAUUCAUCCGCCACACACCUGCUCAGUCGUACUGCUUCUGUACCUGUCGCUCCAGUUUAAACACUAACAGACAUGUAUUCAUUAUGACGAUAUACAGGCAGUGCAUCUAAGACCUUGAUCUCAGUUCCACUGGAGAACAGGGGUCCCUCCUAGCUUGGUUGCCAGGUCCACUAUGUGCUUUAGUAAAAUAAUGCCAUGACGUUGAUAGUCGGAAGCCUGUACAGAUCUGGCAACUAGUCGAGACCAGACAGUGGAGUCGGACCCUUAAACCCUCCAUAUAACUCUGUUGUAGAGGAGUGUGUUUGAUCAUCGGAGUUAAACAUAAUCAGGGAGGCAGUUUCCACUCGACUCUUUUAGGAGGAAGGAGUUCUUCUCCCUUUUUCUGUCCUUCUCUUGGGUUUGGGUCCUUGAUAGCCUGGUCCCAGAUGUGUUUGUGCUGUCUUGCCCAACUCAUUGUCAGACUGUGACCGUCAAGAGUUGGCUCGACGGCACAAAGAGAUCUGAGACCAGGCUAGGAGGUCCCUUAAUGCUCUGUGUUGAGACGAUAUAGAUGUCUUCUCAAUCUUCAGACCCAGAAUUACAAGGCCUUUUGUUUCAUUGUGACAUUUCAACAGAAAAAAACAUCAAAGGAAAACAGAUGUUUGUUGUUUUUUAAUUAUUAAUUUAUUUCUUUUUGUUUGUUUGUUUGGGGAAGUGCAUAUUGUUUGUUUGUUUGGGGAAGUGCAUAUUGUUUGUUGAAGCACGUGUCCAGUGGUGACUGUGGGAUUUACAAUAGGUCUUUAUAUCUGCUGUAAUUGUUCUAAUAAAAAGGGUUUGGAUUCUGGGAAAGUUCGAUGUAUUUAUUUGGCUUUGUGAUAUCUAAUACUUUAUGUUGAUUUGAGGUGCGUUUCAAAAUGUCGUUCAUUGUGGGAUUUUACCAGGCAUUCCUCUUUUAUGUUGCAGUUUUCUGUAAUGGCAUGAGUUUUCCUGCCCAGUUUGUAGUCCUACAUUAUUUUUCAUUAGACUGUUGCCAUCUAGUGGUGAAAGGAGGUAUAAAAGUGUACAUUGAGGCCUGCAUCUAAUACUGUUGGUUUUUCCACAAUACCUCUCGAUCUCCUGGCAGCCGCCUCAACAGCACUGGAAAUGGUCAACACUCCAUCCCAUUUGACAAAAAGCCUGUGCAUUACUGUUCCAUAGCAUGCAAGUCUAGUAGAAGGUUAGGAGGGUUCAGUAGGGAACUAGCUGAGCUCUCUGCUACUGAGUUCAAGCCCUGGGUGGUAAGCUUCCUGACUGCAGGGUACUGAGUUCAAGCCGUGGGUGGUAAGCUUCCUGCCCACUGACUACAGGGUACUGAGUUGAAGCCCUGGGUGGUAAGCUUCCUGCCCACUAACUACAGGGUACUGAGUUGAAGCCCUGGGUGUGGCAGGUUGUGUGUCUGAGUCGCAGCCUCUCUGGGUCAAUCUGAGAGGUUAUGGAGAUUAUCUCCUGGACAUUUAGAGACAACUUUUAUCAGAGGUUUUCCUCCACAACCUCUUCUGGUUACUCCUCUGGAGCCCCAGGAUUGAACCCCAAAGCCACAUUACCACCACAAGUGGAAAAAGUACUAAAUUGGCAUACUUGACUAAAGAUACCUUAGUAGAAAAUGACUCGCGAAAGUCAUCCAAUAAAAUACAAGUUUUUGGUUUUAAAUAUCAAAAGUAAUUAUUUCAAGUUACUUUUUAAAAAUGUACGAAUAGCCAAGGUGCAUUCCCAACACUCAGACAUCAUUUACAAAUGAACCAUGUGUGUUUAGUGAGUCCUCCAGAUCAGAGGCAGUAGGGAUGACCAGGGAUGUUCUCUGUUCAGUGAGUCCGCCAGAUCAGAGGCAGUAGGGAUGACCAGGGAUGUUCUCUGUUUAGUGAGUCCUCCAGAUCAGAGGCAGUAGGGAUGAACAGGGAUGUUCUCUGUUUAGUGAGUCCACCAGAUCAGAGGCAGUAGGGAUGACCAGGGAUGUUCUCUGUUUAGUGAGUCCUCCAGAUCAGAGGCAGUAGGGAUGAACAGGGAUGUUCUCUGUUUAGUGAGUCCUCCAGAUCAGAGGCAGUAGAGAUGACCAGGGAUGUUCUCUGUUUAGUGAGUCCUCCAGAUCAGAGGCAGUAGGGAUGACCAGGGAUGUUCUCUGUUUAGUGAGUCCUCCAGAUCAGAGGCAGUAGGGAUGACCAGGGAUGUUCUCUGUUUAGUGAGUCCUCCAGAUCAGAAGCAGUAGGGAUGAACAGGGAUGUUCUCUGGAUAAGUGUGUGAAUUGGACCAUUUGUCUGUCCUGCUAAGCAUUCAAAAUGUAACGAGGACUUUUGGGUGUCAGGUAAAAUGUAUGGAGUAAAAAGUACAGUAUUUCCUUUAGGAAUGUCUUGAAGUAAAACAGUUGUCAAAAACAUAAAUAGUGAAGUACAGAUACACCAAUAACUAGUAAAGUGUUGUUUACUUAAGCGCUUUACACCACUGCACAUUAUACACAUUACCAAGUCAUCUUGAGAAACAAUUUCAAAAUACAAUAUCAGAAUGUAAAUUGCCAGAUUUACACUUAUUCGUUCAAUUGGAUUGAAUUAUUCAGGUCACACUCAAGUCAUUACUUAUGAUAUCCGGACGGAUAUCAAUGUCUUCGUUGAUAUCCGUCCGGAUAUCAUAAGUAAUGACUUGAGUGUGACCUGAAUAAUUCUCCA